rnacentral:rRNA from 1 species
AUGCCCCCUCAGUUGCGCUUCCCCACCGUCCUCCCCAACCUAUACCCCCACCUCCUCCUCCCCCGCUCCCUCCCCUCUCGCCGUCUCCGCCUGCCGCCGCCCCCGACCCCGCGCCACCCGCUCCGCCGCCUGCUCUUCCGAGGCAUGGCCUCCUCCGCCACCGGCGAGGCGGCGCCGGCCGCCGGGACGAGCGGCGCCGGAGAGGCCUCCACCCGCCCGCGGCGCGCGCUGGAGGAGCUCGCGUGGGACGAGACCUUCGUCCGCGAGCUGCCCGGCGACCCGCGAUCCGACAACAUCCCCCGCCAGGUGCUGCACGCUUGUUACACCAAGGUAUCUCCCUCGGCGCCCGUGGAGAACCCUAAGCUCGUGGCGUGGUCCGAAUCCGUAGCUGACCUCCUCGAUCUGGAUCACAAAGAGUUUGAAAGGCCUGAUUUUCCUCGGUUCUUCUCAGGAGAAACUCCGUUGGUGGGAAGUGUGCCUUAUGCCCAGUGUUACGGUGGACACCAGUUUGGUUCAUGGGCUGGUCAGUUGGGGGAUGGACGAGCAAUAACUCUCGGAGAGGUUCUCAAUUCUCGAGGUGAGAGGUGGGAGUUGCAGCUCAAGGGUGCUGGAAAGACUCCUUACAGCCGAUUUGCAGAUGGCCUCGCUGUCCUGCGCAGCAGCAUCCGUGAAUUCUUAUGCAGUGAAGCUAUGCAUGGUCUAGGCAUUCCUACAACUCGUGCUCUUUGUCUAGUUGAAACUGGCAAAUCUGUUGUGCGAGAUAUGUUCUAUGAUGGUAAUGCAAAAGAGGAGCCAGGUGCAAUUGUGUGCCGUGUAGCACCAUCGUUUUUACGUUUUGGUUCAUACCAGUUACAUACUACAAGGGGCAAAGAGGACCUUGAAAUUGUUCGUCGUUUGGCAGACUACACAAUACGUCAUCACUACCCACAUCUUGAAAAUAUUAAAAAGAGUGAAGGUUUAUCUUUUGAGGCAGCUAUAGGAGACUCUCCAGCAAUAGAUCUUACUUCCAACAAAUAUGCUGCCUGGGCAGUUGAGGUUGCAGAGCGUACUGCUUACUUGAUAGCCAGGUGGCAAGGUGUUGGUUUCACCCAUGGUGUGCUUAACACUGAUAAUAUGAGUGUGUUGGGCCUAACUAUUGAUUAUGGACCCUUUGGUUUCUUGGAUGCUUUUGAUCCUAGCUUUACUCCGAAUACAACUGAUCUCCCAGGUAAGAGAUACUGUUUUGCAAAUCAACCUGAUGUUGGUUUGUGGAAUAUUGCCCAGUUCACUGGGCCAUUGUCGGCUGCGGAUCUUAUCAGCAAGGAUGAAGCAAAUUAUGUUAUGGAGAGGUAUGGGACAAAGUUCAUGGAUGAAUAUCAAUCUAUAAUGACAAAGAAACUUGGUCUGUCAAAAUAUAACAAGCAGCUUAUUAGCAAGCUGCUGAACAACUUGGCUGUCGAUAAAGUUGACUAUACAAAUUUUUUCCGUCUUCUUUCGAAUGUCAAAGCAGACCGUGACAUCGCAGAAACUGAGCUACUUGUUCCCAUAAAAGCUGCACUCCUGGAUAUUGGGAAAGAAAGAAAGGAAGCAUGGAUUAGUUGGGUACAAACAUAUGUUGAGGAGCUGGUGGCUAGUGGUGUCUCCGAUGAAGAAAGGAAAGCCACAAUGAACCGUGUCAACCCAAAGUAUGUUCUUCGGAACUAUCUCUGCCAGACAGCGAUUGACGCAGCUGAUCUAGGUGAUUACGAGGAAGUUCGCCGGCUAUUGAAAGUUAUGGAACAUCCAUAUGAUGAGCAGCCGGGAAUGGAGAAAUACGCCCGCUUGCCACCGGCCUGGGCAUACAGGCCUGGGGUGUGCAUGCUAUCCUGCUCGUCAUGA